UUUUGGCCAAUCACAAUUAAGGGCGAUGUCUACAUCACAAGUUUUGUUCGAGCUCUCCAUUGAUCAUUAAUUGAUACUUAAUUAUAUUUUUUAGGGGGGAAUUCAUAUUUAAUUGUUGGCAAACUAUCAUAUAAAAGAAACAAUAAUGUUACUAACAUCAACGCUUAUACACACAAAUAUACAAACUCCUUCACUGCUUCACAUGAGUUGUAUAAGCCAAUCACAUUAAAAAAAUUAUGUAAAUAGAGAAUAAAAAUAGCUCCCUUAAUUUGGCCAGAGGGGCAGAGAGACAUUAUUGCGUCCCGAUUUUUGGAGGAGAUUUAAAUAUUUUUAUGAAAAAGUUUAAACCAAAAUAUGAUAAUAUUCCCAAAAUUUAAUAUAAUCAAAAGUUACUUUUUAAAAAAAUAUUUCAAAUGUAGUAAGCAGAUUAAAGUUACAGAAUACGGAGUUAUGCAACAAAAGUUACGGCCGAUUAAAGUUUACCGACCACACGGGUAUAACGACGCCCUCGAGUCUCCAAGUAGUCUUUAGCCUUGCUAUCUGCAUCAAUAGAGAAGAGAAAGAAGAUGAAGAUGAAGAUGAAGAGAAGAGAAAGAAGAUGAAUAGGAUAUAAUGGUCUGCAUCAAUUUAGAGAAGAGAAAGAAGAUUGUAACGAAAGAGAAAGAAGAUGAAGAGGAUAUAAUGCGUAUUUCUGUGUGUUGUAACGGAGUAACUGGGGAGCUUCUAAAUGCAAACCAAAGUGGUUUUUUGCACACUCCACUUUUUGAGUAUGCUCCAAUUUCAUUUUAAAUUUAUAAAUGCAUCUCAGUAUAAACUAUUUUAAUACAAAAAUAUCAUACAAAUCACUCAUUUUAAAAUAUCAAAAUUAACUCAAUACAAUCUAAAAUUAUAAAAUUCUAUUCUUCAAAAACAAAUUUUAUUUUUCUGUAAACCUUUAUAUCGGGACCAUCACAGCACCACCUACCAUUGCAGUCACAUAGUGGAUGCAACUACAUGGGUAUUUGCAUUGAGUUGGACUCUCUCAUAACUACGAGAGUUGGGAGUGAGUUCUGAAAUUAUUUACAUUGAUGAGUAUGAAUAAAUAUUUUUUGUUAACACUUAAAGUUAAGAUCUAAUAAUCUUAAAUGGUUAGAUUAUCUAACUUUUUUUUUUCUCAUCAAAUUCUUAAUUUAAAUAUAACCUUAAAAAAUCCACAAAAAGCUCCUAAUAUUUUAAAACUAUCAGUUACAUUAAAAUAUUAAAUUUGAUAUAUAUCCUAUAAAAUUCUUUAUUAUUAGUUGAUGAUACCAUUUGUAUGCUUGCAAUAAAUUUUUAGUUGACGAUACGAGGGACCCACAAAACAAUAAGCCAAUUUGGGCUUAGCUUUUUUUAACUAAUAAGUUAGCAGUUUUGAUUUUUGAGUUAUCCAUCUUCUGUUUAUUUUUUUAAAAAAUAUAUAGUUUCUCUUGGCGAGAAGAACGUGAAAAUGUAAAAAAAUUGUUCAACUUAAAAAAAAAACAAAAAAUUAGCUUACCUAUUGAAUAAAAAUAAUUUUUUGUUUUUAUUAGAUUUGUUUUCAAAUUUAAUAAAAUCUUACAUUUUCAGAGUACCUCUCAUAAAGAGGAACCGGACAAGUAUAAUUUUUUUUAUAGAACGGUAACUUUUUUUUACUAAUGACGAAAAGACUUAAAAAUCAAAGUAGCGCCACAUCUUUAUCACAAAUGAAAUCAAUAUUUUUAAAAUUUAACAAAAUAAAUCAUAAAAUUUUAACUUUUAGCAAUUUGAACCAUAUGACAUCUUAUGUUUUAUGUAGUAAUGACAUUAAGUGAUUUUUGUCAAAACAAUUUAGGGAAGCAACAUUCCACGAAUUGACAGACUAUUUAAAAAUCCCAAUUUAUACAGUUAGGACAUAUAUCUAAACGAUAACAAGAGAGAUAAAUUGAAUGAUUAAAAAGUUGAAUUUUGAGUAGAAAUUAGGUGAACUCAGACUUGUAAAUGGGGCUUUAGUUUUUGUGGCAUCGUUUUCUUAAUUAUUUUGUUGGGAAUCAUUUAGUGUAAUCAAGUUAAAUAAAUGAAGACUAAUGGAUGAUUCAAAUUGUGAUGUUUAAAAAAUAGAUUUUAAUUUGUUAAAAUUAAAAAUUCAAAACUUAAUUUGUUACCAAAGUCAAACUUGGACUUCUCUUAUAACUUUUCCUAAAAGCAAAACAAUAAAAGAAAUAAAAAUCUUAAUAAGCCUACUAUUUUGUUUUUAUUUUCGAGUUUUUUUGGUCUGUAGUGAAUUUCUUUUACUAUUAGAUCAAAUAUUUAUACUUUUUUGGAUAUUCUCGAUGAGAAGAGUUCAAAAGUGUAAAAUUUUAAAUCGAAUUUGAAAAAUUCGGUAAAAACAAAAAAAAACUUUUUUAGGUGGCAUUUUGGGGAUAAAAUGGUCUUUAGUGAACUUUUAUUUUUUUAUUUGAUCAAAAUUUUAUAUAUUUGAAAAGAAUUUUGUAAAGAAUUUUACUAAAGACAAAAAAAUUUUUUUUUUUUUAUAAAAGUACUUUUUCUUAUUUAAUAAUUUUUUCAAAUUAAAUAAAAAAAUUUAUUUUUAAACUUAUCUCAGAAACAAACAAAAAAAAUAAUUUAAUAAUAUUUUUUUAUUAAAUACGAAAAAACUCAAUAAUCGAAACAUACCAAAAAAAAAUUAACCUAAAACCAUCUCCAACAAACCCCCCCAAACCCCCCCUUUUCUUCAUUUUUUCAUGUUCAAUGGGUUCCCCAUUUUUUUUUCCAUUUCUUCAUUCCCCCAUUCCCCACCCCCUCCCAUCAAAUUUGGUGACAAAAAUGAGAAGAAAAUUUCAUCUCCAAUGGCACCCCCAUUUCUCCAUUCCUCCAUUUUUUUCCUAAAUUUGAAAAAAAAAAGGAGAAUAAUUGGGAGAGUACUUUUUGGUGAUUGUGUUGGGGCCCAUGACCCCGGAGAGAAACAAGAUUUAAUAAGAAUAAAAUUAAAUAUUUAUUUGGUAAAAUUGCUAGAUUUUCUCUUUUAUUUAAUGUUUUGACGAUUUAUUUAUUAAUUAUUAUAUAUAAUUAAGUUUAUUAUUUAUUUCCUUUUAUUCUUAUUAAUAUUUUAUGUAUAAUAAUAAUAGUAUCGGGUCGGUCAUAAAUUAUUUUGUAGUCGUUUGAGAUUAUUUGUUUUUCAGAUUUUUGUUUAAGAGUACAAUGUUUUAUAUAAAUCUUGUUUUAUGUAAUAUUAUAAGUUAAUUAUGUUUUAUGCUACAUUUUUUUAAAAAAAUAAUUAUUUAUUAUUUUUAACAUCAAAUAUAAAUAGUUUUCUUGAAAUUCAUUUUAUUAAUUAUAAUUUUAAAAAUAAAUACUCAUUCCAAAGAAAUGUGAAAAUGGAGAAAUAGAGAAAUGGGGAAUGAAAAAUUGGAGAAUACUAUUGGAGACCAACACCAUUUUUUUCUACAAAUUCAAAAAAUAGAAAAAUAGAGAAAUAGGAGAAUACCAUUGGAGACUAGAAUGGAAAAAAAAUAAAAGAAUGGGGAAAAUUAUUGGAGACCAACUCUAUUUGUCCUCCAAAUUGAACCGGCAACUUUUUUAUCGAACCGGCUGAUUUUUUUUUUUAACGAUUGAACCGGCCGUGGGUUUCCGCUGGGUUUUUAACAGAAAAAAUUAAAGUUUUAAUUUUAAGUUUGACCCCAAAAUUUUGAAUAAUUGAAGUUUUAAUUUUUAUAGUUUGACCCCAAAAAUUUGGAAUGAAAAGUUGUAAUUUUUUAAUAGUUUUUACUAUAAUAAUUUUUUACUAUGAAUUGGUACAAAAAAAUAUUUUUUUUAUUAUUUAUAAUAAAAUAUAAUUUUAUUAUUUAUUAAUUAUAAAUCCGGUUGAACCGUGGUUAAACCAGUGAACCGUUGAACCAGUGCUUUGACUGGUUCAAUGUCCGGUUCGGUUCUGAUAACUAUGGGGCUAACCAUUGGAGACCAAACUAUUUUUACCCCAUUUUUUCACCUAAAAAUGGAAGAAUGAGAGAAAAAAUGGGAGAAAAAUAUUAUUGUGAUUGGAGAUGGUCUAAAAAAGCCUACAUAUUAAAACUAAAACGAGAAAAGAAAUAAAAAUAAAAAUCAUAGUUAGUUGAUUGAAGGAAACUCCGAAGCUUCUAAUAGGACAAAUUAAUAUUUUUUUUAUGGGUCGUGCUAACGUGCGGUCAAUAAGGAGUAUAAAAUGAUUUGAAAGUUUAAGUUUUGAUACACUUUUUAUAUUUUUUAAUAUAUUUUUAUAUAUUUUUAUACACUUUUUAUACAUUUUUAUACAUUUUUCACUAUCAACCGCCCUAAGGGCUGUCAAUAGCAUUUCCCUUUUUAAUAUUUCUUUUCUUGUGACGACAAAGAAGAGCAGAGAGGAACGAGAAGAGAAGACCAGAGACAACUCGAGAGUCGAGAAUAUUACUCUCUCUCUCUCUCUCUUCUCCUCUCCAUUGGUCAGAGCAAUCCACGGACAGAGAGAGAGAGUGAUGUUCGGCGCGUAUGGCCGUGUCAUUAUCGCUCGCCGGCGUCAUCUUUUUCCUCUGCUUCGUCGAGAUCUCCGAACCUCGAACCAUUCUGAGGUCUCAUUGCUUUUUCCAUUCACGAUUUCACAUCUCUCUUCUCUCUCUCUAGACGAUCCUCAAAUUUCUGUUUAUGUUUAACCGAAUGCAGGUCGGAUGCAACAAAACAUGCGUCGCAGAGAACUGCAAUUGUAAAAAUCUCUCUCUUCCAAUUAGCUUUUCUCUUCAUGAUUGUAUUUUUUUUAAUAUAUUUUUGUAUUUUUUGGUUUUUGGAAUUUGUAAUAGCUGCUGGAAUAAGGUAUGGAAAGUACUGCGGAGUAGGGUGGACACCGUGGACUGGAUGUCCCGGAGAGAAGCCCUGCGAUCAGGGACGGAGCAGGAAAUUUCAAUUGGUGGGGGUGGGGGGAGCAAGUCGGGUGGAAAUGUUUAAGGAAAAAAAGUCCAAAAUAUAUAUGCAUAACACUGUAAAUACAUUUGAAUUAAAAAAAGUACAAAAUAGCCAUCACUCCAUACAUUAGUAAAAUGUUUUUCUCAAAAGAUAAUAGAAUUACAAAAAUAAUAGCUUCUUACCUCGGCCUAUCUAUCAAAUUUAGGCAUCUUUAAUUGGCACUCGACGCUCUUUCAUGUCAUUAAAAUUCUCGAUAAUAGAAUCAAUAUCAAACAUCUUAGCUAGGGCUCUCCAUCGGCCCGGCCCGGCCCAAACUCGAAUAGUAAAAAUCCGAGUCCGGUCCAGUUCAAAGUCCGCGGACUUUUGACUUUGACCGGGCCGGGCCGGGCCUAGGGAGGUAUCUUGAACCCCAAGCCCGGCCCUUGAGGGUUUCGGGGUUUUUGGGGUUUCGGACUUUUCGAGUUUCGAACUUUUCGCGCCCAAAUGAGCCUAAAUGACUUCUUUAAAUUUGUUUAAAAGUUUACGCUAUAUAGUUUUAAAAUUUAUAUUUUAAAGUAUACAUUGAUACAUUAUAAUUUAAAGUGGAUCACGUGUGAGAAAUUAAAAAAUUAAUUUGAUUAAUAAAAUUUAUCAACUACAUCUUUAGUAGAGGAUUGCAUCACUACCAAUUUGUGCAUCCCCAACUAGGUUGGCACCCACAAUGUGUCAAUCAUUUGCUCUCUACCCAAGUUACAUGAAUAUAAAAUUUUAAAAUUACAAAUAAAAAAUUUGUAAGACUAUCUAUCUUCAUCACUAAUAGUAUUCGGCAUCAAUCCAGUUGGCUUCGAUAAUUCAGUUCUUGCAUUUGUUCUUCAAGUUCGGCAAUGCGGGCCUUUUCCGGGCUGGGGGAUUCGGGCAAUUCGGGCAUUUUGUGGGCGGGCUCCGCGGCGUUUUUCGGGACAGGACUUUCUGGCUUUUCGGGUCGCGAGACUUUCGGAUUUCGAGCUCGGACUUCGAGCCGGCUUCGGGCUUCAAACCCUUAAGCCCGGGCCCAGCCCAGUUGGCUUAGGCCCGGCCAGGCGGGCCAUUUUUUGGGCUUCAGGCUUCGGGCGAGCUCCGGCGGCUUCGGGACUCGGCCAUUGAAGAGCCCCCUACUCUUGCAUAUCUGUCUCUAUGUAAGUGUCGAGGAAGGAAUGAAAUUGUAAAAAUUCAUCCUCCAUCCGAUAGCGGAGUAGUUUAGUCUUCACACAUUUCAUAGAUGAAAGGAAAUUCCGUUUUCUUGUGUGUAGCAAAUUGACAUGAGUAAAAUUAUAUGCGUUGAUGAAUCAAACCUGUCGAUCAAAGGAUAUAUCAAGGGCUUCUUGUUUUCCAACACUUCACUCAACUUAGAAAUUGUUUGACCAAAAUUUUAAAAUUUUUGGAUGCUUGCUUAGAAACGUCAAGUAUAUAAUUUUUCAACUAAAAUUGAAAUGUUGCUUUUCUUACUAGUGAAAAUCCAUAUAGGAUAUACUUCUCUACAAGCUUGCAUGUAUCUUCAAUUUGAAUGAUUUAUAACCAAUCAGAAGAUCUAAAGGGUAUGAGAACGAGCAAUUUCUAUUGUUAACUCUUAUUUAACCGUUUUGUUCCAAUUCAAUAAUUGAGAAUCGAUGGGACAUGUUGUAAAAACUAACCCGAAAAUGAUGAUCAAUACUGAUUUUAUUUUUUCGAACACGCCCCCGAGAUGUUGUAUACCUACCUCCCCCCCCCCUCCCUCCUCCUCAACAACCCCACUCACCCCCCCCCCCGCUGGUGCUUUCUUCUCUCCGACCGUACUCCCCUCUCUCUUCCACCUCCACUCCGAAGAAUCGACUCUGUAACCCACUCUUUCCCCCCCCCCUCAACGGAAAACUUAUCUAAUUUUUCACAAAAUACGAUAACUUUCUUUAGAGAGAAUCCAACCAUUUCUCUAAAAUUCUGAAUUUUGUUAUUUUUUAUUGUAGUCACCAGAUGCAAAUUGCAUUAAUAUGCUUCUUGGAAUUUGGUGUUGUGUGCAAAGGCUUGAUUUUCAAUUAUAAUUUUUUUAUGGUACACACAAUGUGUACUAUAGAUUUUCUCUUCUCGAUUGGUUAUACCACGAUUUGGGACAGAUGUUACCCCUUAAAAGAGUAAGCACCGUACUUACUCCUUAAAACGACAUAAUUUUGAUUAAAAUUUCUUAAAACUUAAUUAAAAUUUGAAAACUCUUAUACAUGGUCACAAUUGUAAAUGGAUAACAAUUGUAUAAUAUAGCAAUUUGGCCAAAAUAUAAGACUUUUUUUGUUAAAAGUUUUUCAAAUUAAUUUUAAUUUUUUAAAUAUAAAACACGCAUUGCUUUUAUAUUUUAUUCAUUUUGAAUGGAAAUAACUUUUUAAAAAUUAAAAAUAUGUAUGUAGUUUUGUAAAAAUUCUAAAACACAAACACAAAUUCUCACAAUUUUUUUAAAAAUAGCAUACAUUUUUGCAAAAAUAUUUAAAACAUGUUUUUGAAUUCUCAAAACUUAGUUUCACUCAAAACAAAUUAAAUAUAAAAGCGAUGUGUGUUUUAUAUUAAAAAAAUUAAAAUCAAAACUUUAAAAUUAUUUUUUAAAUUUUAUAACAAAAAAAGGUCUUAUAUUUUGAC
rnacentral:lncRNA from 1 species